rnacentral:rRNA from 1 species
UACGGGGGGGGCAAGCGUUGUUCGGAAUUACUGGGCGUAAAGGGCUCGUAGGCGGCCAACUAAGUCAGACGUGAAAUCCCUCGGCUUAACCGGGGAACUGCGUCUGAUACUGGAUGGCUAGAGGUUGGGAGAGGGAUGCGGAAUUCCAGGUGUAGCGGUGAAAUGCGUAGAUAUCUGGAGGAACACCGGUGACGAAGGCGGCAUCCCGGACCAAUUCUGACGCUGAGGAGCGAAAGCCAGGGGAGCAAACGGG